CAAAGUAGGGAAGCACGUGAGCUGACUGUCAAGAAAAGCCGCUAUUGUUUGCAGGAUACCCGUACCGUAAACCGACACAGGUGGAUGAGGAGAGAAUCCUAAGGCCGACGGGAGAAGCAUUGUUAAGGAACUCGGCAAAAUGACUCCGUAACUUCGGGAGAAGGAGUGCCAGUAAGAUGGCCGCAGAGAAUUCGCCCAAGCAACUGUUUAGCAAAAACACAGGUCUAUGCAAAACCGAAAGGUGAGGUAUAUGGGCUGACGCCUGCCCGGUGCUGGAAGGUUAAGGGGAGAGGUUAGCGCAAGCGAAGCUUUGAACUUAAGCCCCAGUAAACGGCGGCCGUAACAAUAACGGUCCUAAGGUAGCGAAAUUCCUUGUCGGGUAAGUUCCGACCCGCACGAAAGGCGUAAUGAUUUGGGCACUGUCUCAACAAUGCACCCGGUGAAAUUGAAAUACCAGUGAAGAUGCUGGUUACCUGCGCCAGGACGGAAAGACCCCAUGGAGCUUUACUCCAGCUUGAUACUGGGAUUCGGUAUUGCAUGUACAGGAUAGGUGGGAGGCUAGGAAAUGGUAACGCCAGUUGCCAUGGAGCCAAUGUUGGGAUACCACCCUUGCAGUACUGGGUUUCUAACCAGCAGCCGUGAUCCGGCUGGGGGACAAUGUCAGGUGGGGAGUUUGACUGGGGCGGUCGCCUCCGAAAGGGUAUCGGAGGCGCUCAAAGGUUCCCUCAGAAUGGUUGGAAACCAUUCGAAGAGUGCAAAGGCAGAAGGGAGCUUGACUGCGACACCGACGGGUGGAGCAGGUACGAAAGUAGGACUUAGUGAUCCGGUGGUAUAAAGUGGGAUUGCCAUCGCUCAACGGAUAAAAGCUACCCUGGGAUAACAGGCUUAUCACUCCCAAGAGUUCACAUCGACGGAGUGGUUUGGCACCUCGAUGUCGGCUCAUCGCAUCCUGGGGCUGAAGUAGGUCCCAAGGGUUGGGCUGUUCGCCCAUUAAAGCGGUACGCGAGCUGGGUUCAGAACGUCGUGAGACAGUUCGGUCCCUAUCCGGCGUGGGCGUAAGAUAUUUGAGAGGAGCUGUCCUUAGUACGAGAGGACCGGGAUGGACUGGCCGCUGGUGUAUCUGUUGUCUUACCAAAGGCAUAGCAGAGUAGCCAAGCCGGGAAGGGAUAAACGCUGAAGGCAUCUAAGCGUGAAGCCCCCCUCAAGAUGAGAUAUCUCAUAACGUCAAGUUAGUAAGACCCCUUGAAGACGACGAGGUAGAUAGGGCAGAGGUGGAAGUGUGGUAACACAUGGAGCUGACUGUUACUAAUAGGUCGAGGGCAUAACC
rnacentral:rRNA from 1 species